rnacentral:rRNA from 1 species
GAUGAACGCUGGCGGCGUGCCUAAUACAUGCAAGUCGAGCGAACGGACGAGAAGCUUGCUUCUCUGAUGUUAGCGGCGGACGGGUGAGUAACACGUGGAUAACCUACCUAUAAGACUGGGAUAACUUCGGGAAACCGGAGCUAAUACCGGAUAAUAUUUUGAACCGCAUGGUUCAAAAGUGAAAGACGGUCUUGCUGUCACUUAUAGAUGGAUCCGCGCUGCAUUAGCUAGUUGGUAAGGUAACGGCUUACCAAGGCAACGAUGCAUAGCCGACCUGAGAGGGGGAUCGGCCACCCUGGACCUGAGACCCGGUCCAGCCUCCUACGGAAGGCAGCAGUAGGGAAUCUUCCGCAAUGGGCGAAAGCCUGACGGAGCAACGCCGCGUGAGUGAUGAAGGUCUUCGGUUCGUAAACCUCUGUUAUUAGGGAAGAACAUAUGUGUAAGUAACUGUGCACAUCUUGACGGUACCUAAUCAAAAAGCCACGGCUACCUCCGG